CUAAACUGGAGAAACAAUUGACUAGAGUAGAACACAAGAAUAAAACACAACACAUGGAUCACUAUAACAGUAGGAAGACAUUGGAGGAAACAAAGCAUGAAACCAAAGGUAAAUCUACAAAAUCAAACAGGAAACAAAAAAGAAAACAACACAGUAUGAACUUAGCAGCAAGUCAAAUGGGAGAAAAAUAUACAAAUUAUAAACAUAAACAUACAAAUAUAUCUUCAUACACCUACGAAAAAGAAGGCUACUUUGAAGAAUAUAGAAUAUAAAACAUAUUCUGUUUAGUUAACACUUUUAUGUUUACUACAAAAUUCCAUAUGUGUUCCUUCUUAGUUUUUGUGUCUUCAACAUGGAUCUACAAUGUAGGAAAUAAUAAUCAAAACUCUUUAUUGCUUGAAUUGUGUUUUAUUGUGACACUGACUGAGGAGUAGCUGUAUUAUUGUGUCCUGGAGGAACUUGGCUCAGCAUGUGGCAAAUACAGUAUAUUGAGGUAAUCCAGUUAAUAUAAUCAGAAACUUAAUCUCACUGAAUGUAUUACCAAGCUGGCAUUUAAAAGCAGACUUGUACAAAGAUAGGCUUUAUGUUGAAUACAGUAUAAUAAACAAAAACUCAAAACUCCUGUCAGUGAAUGGGGACUUUGAGGACAAGAAGCUCCUGUGAUGCAUGAUAAAGCAGUACGAUCCUCUGCUGAGGCUUGUACCCAACAGGAGGCGUCCCCACAUCUGGUCUCAGGGUACAGGACGAUAUGAAUCUUUUCCCACUUACUUGUCGUUCAGACCUUCCUACCCACAGAGUUCAUCUCAGGGGAAAUCCACCUGGAGGACAAGCUUCUCUUAUUCGCUGAAUCCUAAAGGAAGACAGAAAGGUGUUCAAUACCUGCAGAGACAAACUCCUUUAUCAUCAACUUGAAUAUCAUCCCAGUGUGAGAUUCACCAGUGAAAACUUGGGUGAAGCCGGACAGACUGGAAAUAUUCACAUUUCCCUAGAACCAGAGCAAAGCCAUUAAACUCUCACAGCGCACAUUUCAAUUUGUGCUGCUGAAAACCUACAUUGCCUUUACAAAUUUACCAUAAAUGAAUGCUUAUAACAUGUGAUGUGUAAAACAA